rnacentral:rRNA from 1 species
GACGAACGCUGGCGGCGUGCUUAACACAUGCAAGUCGAGCGGUAAGGCCCUUUCGGGGGUACACGAGCGGCGAACGGGUGAGUAACACGUGGGUGACCUGCCCUCAGCUCUGGGAUAAGCCUGGGAAACCGGGUCUAAUACUGGAUAUGACUCCAUGACGCAUGUUGUGGGGUGGAAAGCCUUGUGCGGCUGAGGAUGGGCCGCGGCCUAUCAGCUUGUUGGUGGGGUGAUGGCCUACCAAGGCGACGACGGGUAGCCGGCCUGAGAGGGCGACCGGCCACACUGGGACUGAGACACGGGCCCAGGACUCCUACGGGAGGCAGCGAGGUGGGGAGUCUUGCGCAAUGGGCGAAAGCCUGACGCAGCGACGCCGCGUGAGGGAU